UGGCUGGUAGCUCAGUUGGUUAGAGCAUUGUCCUUAUAUGACACUGUUGAAAGUUCAAUACCUGGUCAG
rfam:Myotis davidii contig33341, whole genome shotgun sequence.